rnacentral:rRNA from 1 species
GAUGAACGCUAGCGAUAGGCCUAACACAUGCAAGUCGAGGGGCAUCACAUGAAGUAGCAAUACGGAUGGUGGCGACCGGCGCACGGGUGAGUAACACGUAUGCAACCUGCCUUCAACAAGGGGAUAACCCGUUGAAAGACGGACUAAUACCCUAUAACACAGGGGUCCCGCAUGGGAAUAUUUGUUAAAGGACAACCGGUUGAAGAUGGGCAUGCGUUCCAUUAGCUAGUUGGCGGGGUAACGGCCCACCAAGGCAACGAUGGAUAGGGGAACUGAGAGGUUUAUCCCCCACACUGGUACUGAGACACGGACCAGACUCCUACGGGAGGCAGCAGUGAGGAAUAUUGGUCAAUGGACGCAAGUCUGAACCAGCCACGUCGCGUGAAGGAAGACGGCCCUACGGGUUGUAAACUUCUUUUAUACGGGAAUAAAGUGCCCCACGCGUGGGGUUUUGCAUGUACCGUAUGAAUAGGAUCGGCUAACUCCGUG